rnacentral:rRNA from 1 species
GACGAACCGUGCGAACGUUGUUCGGAAUCACUGGGCUUAAAGGGCGCGUAGGCGGGCUGCCAAGUCUGGGGUGAAAUCCUCCGGCUCAACCGGAGAACGGCCUCGGAUACUGGCGGUCUCGAGGGAGGUAGGGGCGUGCGGAACUAAGGGUGGAGCGGUGAAAUGCGUUGAUAUCCUUAGGAACUCCGGUGGCGAAGGCGGCACGCUGGACCUUUUCUGACGCUGAGGCGCGAAAGCCAGGGGAGCAAACAGG